rnacentral:rRNA from 1 species
CCGAGGAUCUUCGGCAAUGAGCGAAAGCUUGACCGAGCGACGCCGCGUGCGGGAUGAAGGCCUUCGGGUUGUAAACCGCUUUCGUAGGGGAGGAAAUUUCGGUGGGAUCACUCAUCGAUUUGACCUAGCCUAGGAAGAAGGACGGGCUAAGUUCGUGCCAGCAGCCGCGGUAAUACGAACCGUCCAAACGUUAUUCGGAAUUACUGGGCUUAAAGGGUGCGUAGGUGGCCCGGGAAGUUGGGUGUGAAAGCCCUCGGCUCAACCGAGGAACUGCGCCCAAAACUGCCGGGCUCGAGGGAGAUAGAGGUGAGCGGAACUUAGGGUGGAGCGGUGAAAUGCGUUGAUAUCCUAAGGAACACCGGUGGCGAAAGCGGCCCACUGGGUCUCUUCUGACGCUGAGGCACGAAAGCUAGGGUAGCGAACGG